CAGAUCUGAUGAAAGUUGUUUGAGGGUAGGGUAAAUUUGGGGGUAUGACAGUUGCCCCUAUUUAAUUUUCUCGGACCUGAAUAUAUGGAUAGCGACGACUUCCAAUGUGUUUAAGGUAAGAGAGGAUUAAAUACUAAUGAGAGUAACUAGAAAUUUGCGCUUCUGGAGAAUGUUAGAAUUUGUUAGGGAUUAUGUGUGGUUAUGAUGAUU
rnacentral:lncRNA from 1 species